rnacentral:misc_RNA from 1 species
CUACGAUUUAGAGAUGAAUCUCUUACAUUCAAGGUUGCUGAGACUCCUCAGGAAAGUGCGGAGGAAAUUGAAACAUAUGCGCGAUAUAAAUAUCCAACCAUGAGUAAAACUCAGGGAAAUUUCAAGCUCCGUGUGAUAGAAGGUGAAUUUACUGAUUCACAGAUUAUUGUGAUGCUCGGUGAAAAUGGAACAGGGAAGACA